GAUCCACCCGCCUCAGCCUCCCAAAGUGCUGGGAUUACAGGCGUGAGCCACCGCGCCUGGCCUGUUUAUUCUCUUAAGAGAGAAAAUGAGGGGAUUAAUGGACUGUAGUUCUGGACAAGGUGGAAAACUCUUAAAGUGGAAGUACUGGGGCAAGUGCUCUGACAGGGUAGGAUGGUGCAGUCAGUCCCUUCACCCAGAAAUCAGUAGAAUGUUAGCAGUUCAGACUCAAACCUUGUGAAAAACAGGUGGUGGAAAGGAAAUCCCUCACAGCAACUGGCACCAUAAUCAAGACAAUGUUUACAGGAUAAAUGGAGUUACCUGCUUUCAGCCCCAGGUCGUAGCUAUUGUCUGCCCUGCUGAUAUGUGAUAAUAAUUUGUGAUCCUGUUGUCUUAAAAUGGGGUCACUCAUCUCCAGUAGAAUUAAGUCCACAGUGAAGUUGUCCCCCCAUCCCCAAAGAGAUAAACAUAUAUGAAUGAACUCACGUGAUAACAACUACUGCUGCCUGGGAUCAUGAGAGACCUGAACUGAACUGAUAGGAAGUGAAAGGUGGCUGAGAUAAUGAGAAUAGACCCAUCUGCAGAGGAUCAUAAAACCAGCAAAGACAAGAUCUUGUCUAAGAUGCCUUCACAAGCUUUGUCCAUGAGAACUCUUAAGGAUUUCACCAGACCUGUUGGCUGCUGCUGUGAUCUCUGCCCAAGAGGAGCCUCUGACCAACAUCCAAAGGGCUUCUGGACCCACUGGACUCCUCUGGAGUUGCUCCUUCACAUGUUCCCACUCUCUGUGCGGCCACCAUGUAAGUCGGACCUGCCCUUCUGCCAUGAUUGACUAAAAUCUCA